GGUCCAGUGGCCAAAUGGCAAGGCGCUUGGCUACGAACCAAGAGAUUGCAGGUUCGAUCCCUGCCUGGAUCG
rfam:Grosmannia clavigera kw1407 unplaced genomic scaffold GCSC_108, whole genome shotgun sequence.